ACAAAAGUUAGAGCUAAAAUCCGUAAGAGGAAGGUGACAACGAAAAUCAACCAUCAUGACAAAAUCAAUGGAAAGAGGAAGACCGCCAGAAAACAGAAAAUGUUUCAACGUGCGCAAGAGUUGCGGCGGCGAGCAGAGGACUACCACAAAUGCAAAGUAAGGAGCUUCCUCCCUGCAGUUGCAGGAUAGUUCAGUGCUGAUGCAGAUGAUGCCACGGCCCUUAGACUCUCUCAACAUUCAAUUUCUCAUGUGUUGGCUUUUUCAGAUCCCCCCUUCUGCAAGAAAGGCUCUUUGCAACUGGGUCAGAAUGGCGGCAGCGGAGCAUCGUCAUUCUUCAGGAUUGCCCUACUGGC
rnacentral:lncRNA from 1 species